rnacentral:lncRNA from 1 species
AUGUGCGGCUGUGCUGAGGGAUGGCCACCCAAGGGCUUGGUCAAGACUGGGGGUGGAUUUGUUCCCUCUAAACAUCUAUAUCCAAUUGGGCUUGCUCUCCAUGUGCCCCUUUCUCCUUCCUGUUUCUUCAUCAGGAAGCUUGAGAGAAUACAGCAGAUUCUCGCGGUCCUGUCCCCAAGUCACGAUGCCCAGCAGGAAGUACAUAUGUCCCUAAGCCAGCCCACGGAACAGACCUGCCUCAGAGCACAGCAGAAGGGGCAUCGGAGGACUGCUGGCAUGCCACAGCUAUCCACUGUACGCGGAGAGGAGAGAGGAAAGCCAGGCCUCAUGAAGGGUUUCCAGGUGCCUGCUUUAUCAAACGGUCAUUUCUUCACCCAGGGGGUGGUCCUAGCUUGUCCUGAAUGGGUGGUGGUAAUUAAAUUGAGAGGAGGGGAGCUGUUAGAGGGGGAGGAAUUAAGGGACCUGGCCCCCUGGCCAGCCUGUGGCCAUAGUGUCCCAGGAAGCAGAAGCUGGGUCCUAUCCUCUGUCUACUUCAAGGAGCCCCUUCAAUGGCAUUAGCUAACUUCCAGGGUCCCUCAGUCACGGGUGGAGUUGACACGUAUGGAUCUGCUCUCUGUCCCCCCACUGAGUUGGUGCAGGGGUCCCUGAGAUGAGUUAGAUGUGUCCUCCCCUUGGGGAGCUCAGUCCUGAAGGAGACACAGGUUGAUGGGAGCUCCUGGGCCAUGGGACCCAAAAGGGGAGACAUGGCCAAAAUGUGGGUGGUCAGGAAGGGCUUCUUAGAGGAGGAGAUGCCCCUACCAUGGGUCACUAGAAAGCCGGUAAGGGCUGAAUUCCUGAAGGUUUGGUAGGGCAGCCUGGCUCCUGGAUGGACACAGAAGCCCAAAGAAGCGCUUUAAACUGAGGUCUUCCCCCGUGGCUGGCGCACCAGGGCAGGCAGGGCUCACAGUUGGUUAAGAACACUCCUUCUCAAGGAGACCCAAGGACACUCAGGGAUUAGGCCUCCCAGCAUCUGUGCAAAGAACUGUCAGCUCAGAGCUGCUGGAAAGUAGAAAUGCCAGCAAUCGCUGAUGUCAUCACCCUAGUCAUUCCCUCUCCCCUUGGGAGGUCCUGUGGACCUGUGGCUAGAGCAGAAAAUCUCCUGCCAGGCUGCAACACCACCAUCCCCCCAUUUUGCUCCCCACAUUUCUGUUCUGAAUGGGAUGGGGGAGGUGAUCACAAGUGGGCUGAGAAUGAAGAAAAACUUCACGUUAUUCCUCAGAGAGAUGGCAGGGCUAGGGGGACUUUUCUCUUCCCUCCUGUCAGAAUCUGCUGAGGAUCCACUUCAGCUUUAAACCCACACUCCAACCUUCCCUGGCCAACCCCUUCCCCCCCAUGACCCAUCCACACUGCUAAAUUAAUCUGGCAUGCUGGCCCCCGCAGUAUCUGAGCAAGCCCUGGGCCAUCUUGGCAGCCCCCAGGCCAGAAAGAGAGGAUCUGGCAGCUCGGUCUGUGUGGAUGGGGGUUGGGGUGUCAGGCUGUCUCAGGGUGUUGGUGAGGAGUAGAGCUGUAUCUCUGGCAGAGCUGGUGGGAUUUGUCGGUAAACCCAGAGACCGCACACAUUGAAAGGACACACAGCUGGAUCGCCGGCGGGCCUGGGGGGUGGGGGGUGGGGAGCGGACUCAAAGGGAGAGGGGGCUGUGCAGUUGCUUGGGGGUAGGGAGCCUGGGAGGAGCAGGAACUACCCUAGCGUUGUGGUGUCACAAUUUGAAGGAGAACCCAGGGAGAAGGAGGUCCACAGCUAGCCCCAGAGCGCGAAGUCACCCGGGGAGCCCGCCUGCUAGCUCCCCGCUGCAGCCGGCUGGUCUCCGAAACACGCAUCAGAACCACCCCAGGAGAGGUGCAUGCGGGGUCCGAUCCCGCAUCAGUGGCUGCUGCGGGCGCAUUUCCUCGAAGUCUUACCUCGAAGGGCUUGGGUCUCCCCCGCGAGCCCUGUGCCUCCCGGAGUUUCCCCCACGCCCUUCUGGCCGGGCCGCCGCGAGGCUCCGCAGGGGAAAGACCAGCGGGGGAUUCGCCCCCCGCCUGUAUCACAGGAAAACCCCGGGAGCAGCCCCGACGCAGUGCAUUUCCCGGAAACCCCCUCUCCUGGCGCGCUGCGGGAAGGCCCGGGGCUCCUCGUGCGGACUACCCGCCCGCCUCGCCAAAGGAGGGUCGGAGACCCAGGUGAAAAGCAUAACCGCCAGGAAGAGGCGAGCCCAGAGCGCGGAGAAGGAGAGGUCGGGAAACCCC